rnacentral:rRNA from 1 species
UACGGAGGGUGCAAGCGUUAAUCGGAAUUACUGGGCGUAAAGCGCGCGUAGGUGGUUUGUUAAGCGAGAUGUGAAAGCCCAGGGCUCAACCUUGGAACUGCAUUUCGAACUGGCAGGCUAGAGUACGAGAGAGGAUAGUGGAAUUUCCAGUGUAGCGGUGAAAUGCGUAGAGAUUGGAAGGAACACCGAAGGCGAAAGCGGUCUACUGGGCCUUUACUGACACUCAGAGGCGAAAGCUAGGGUAGCGAAAGGG